rnacentral:rRNA from 1 species
GACGAACGCUGGCGGCGUGCUUAACACAUGCAAGUCGAACGGAAAGGCCCUGCUUUUGUGGGGUGCUCGAGUGGCGAACGGGUGAGUAACACGUGAGUAACCUGCCCUUGACUUUGGGAUAACUUCAGGAAACUGGGGCUAAUACCGGAUACGAGCUCCUGCUGCAUGGUGGGGGUUGGAAAGUUUCGGCGGUUGGGGAUGGACUCGCGGCUUAUCAGCUUGUUGGUGGGGUAGUGGCUUACCAAGGCUUUGACGGGUAGCCGGCCUGAGAGGGUGACCGGCCACAUUGGGACUGAGAUACGGCCCAGACUCCUACGGGAGGCAGCAGUGGGGAAUAUUGCACAAUGGGCGGAAGCCUGAUGCAGCAACGCCGCGUGCGGGAUGACGGCAUUCGGGUUGUAAACCGCUUUCGCCUGUGACGAAGCGUGAGUGACGGUAAUGGGUAAAGAAGCACCGGCUAACUACGUG